ACUGCUCAGUAACACGUGGAUAACCUGCCCUUGGGUCCGGCAUAACCCCGGGAAACUGGGGAUAAUUCCGGAUAACGCAUAUAUGCUGGAAUGCUUUCUGCGUCAAAUGGAUUCGUCUGCCCAAGGAUGGGUCUGCGGCCUAUCAGGUAGUAGUGGGUGUAAUGUACCUACUAGCCUACGACGGGUACGGGUUGUGAGAGCAAGAGCCCGGAGAUGGAUUCUGAGACAUGAAUCCAGGCCCUACGGGGCGCAGCAGGCGCGAAAACUUUACAAUGCGGGAAACCGUGAUAAGGGGACACCGAGUGCCAGCGUCAUACGCUGGCUGUCCAGGUGUGUAAAAUACACCUGAUAGCAAGGGCCGGGCAAGACCGGUGCCAGCCGCCGCGGUAACACCGGCGGCCCGAGUGGUAAUCGUGAUUAUUGGGUCUAAAGGGUCCGUAGCCGGUUUGGUCAGUCCUCCGGGAAAUCUGACAGCUCAACUGUUAGGCUUUCGGCGGAUACUGCCAGACUUGGAACCGGGAGAGGUAAGAGGUACUACAGGGGUAGGAGUGAAAUCUUGUAAUCCCUGUGGGACCACCUGUGGCGAAGGCGUCUUACCAGAACGGGUUCGACGGUGAGGGACGAAAGCUGGGGGCACGAACCGGAUUAGAUACCCGGGUAGUCCCAGCCGUAAACGAUGCUCGCUAGGUGUCAGGCAUGGCGCGACCGUGUCUGGUGCCGCAGGGAAGCCGUGAAGCGAGCCACCUGGGAAGUACGGCCGCAAGGCUGAAACUUAAAGGAAUUGGCGGGGGAGCAC
rnacentral:rRNA from 1 species